rnacentral:lncRNA from 1 species
AUGGCCUUCAUGUUUAAGCGAGAGGGCAAUUACUGCAAAAAUAGAUUACACGAGUCAUUUCAAAAAAACAAAAGUUUUAUUAAUCGUCUUAUGUACGAUAUGACUGCCUUUCAUUACGAAAAUUACAUGAAAAAUAAAAUCUACUCAAAUAUUAUGGCUAACUACAACAAUAUUGAAAAAUUACAGUCUAUGUUGAAUUUAAUAAAUGGUGAUAAAGAAAAUGCUUUUAAAAUUAAAACAGGUCAAUUUUAUUUCAGAACUGGAGUACCAGUCAUAACUCCAUACAUCGAACAAGCAAACGAAUUUGCUGAAAACAAUAACUAUAUGUACAAUUUUAAAACUCUUAAAAGUAAAUAUUUAAAAGAAGUAUAUGAUUCAUAUAAGCACAAAAUUGGUGGAACGGACCCCUCAGUUCCUGUUUUUUACAAACACAAAUAGGUGAACAUGAACAUGAACAUGAACAUGAAUAUGAAUUAUUUUUUUUUUUUUUUUUUUUUUUUUUUUAAAUGAGCAUACAUAUUUAUACAACAUACAUAUGUACAUAUAUUACUAGCAAAACAUACUUUAAAAUAUAACCACAUUAUACAUUUUUGCAUUACAAUAUAUUUGUAAGCAAAGACAAAAAAUUAAUUUUUUUUUUAUGUUACAUGAAUAAAAUGGCUUUAGUUAGCUAAUUUAUACA